UUGGUUUUGGUUAUAUUAUGCCCCCAAGGUGUUUGAUAAAAUACUUAUAAAGAUAUGUUCAUUGCAUUGACUUCUUUUAACGGAACUCUUGCAUGUUUUAAACUAGAUAAAGGAUUUAUGCACGGUUUAAAUGGUUUGAAAAGAGUAAAGACUAAAUGGUUAAGCUUGUGGAUAACAUGGAAGUCUCCCAAGUAGAUUUAAUAUG
rnacentral:lncRNA from 1 species